rnacentral:rRNA from 1 species
CCUACGGGAGGCAGCAGUGAGGAAUAUUGGUCAAUGGACGAGAGUCUGAACCAGCCAAGCAGCGUGAAGGAUGACUGCCCUAUGGGUUGUAAACCUCUUUUAUAAGGGAAUAAAAGGGUCCACGUGUGGGCGUUUGUAUGUACCUUAUGAAAAAGGAUCGGCUAACUCCGUGCCAGCAGCCGCGGUAAUACGGAGGAUCCGAGCGUUAUCCGGAUUUAUUGGGUUUAAAGGGUGCGUAGGUGGUUUGUUAAGUCAGUUGUGAAAGUCUGCGGCUCAACCGUAAAAUUGCAGUUGAAACUGGCAGUCUUGAGUAGAGUAGAGGUGGGCGGAAUGCGCGGUGUAGCGGUGAAAUGCUUAGAUAUCACGAAGAACUCCGAUUGCGAAGGCAGCACGCUGGACUGAAACUGACACUGAGGCACGAAAGUGUGGGUAUCAAACAGGAUUAGAUACCCCGGUAGUC